rnacentral:rRNA from 1 species
GACAGAGGGUGCAAACGUUUGUUCGGAAUUACUGGGCGUAAAGGGCUCGUAGGCGGCCAACUAAGUCAGACGUGAAAUCCCUCGGCUUAACCGGGGAACUGCGUCUGAUACUGGAUGGCUUGAGUUUGGGAGAGGGAUGCGGAAUUCCAGGUGUAGCGGUGAAAUGCGUAGAUAUCUGGAGGAACACCGGUGGCGAAGGCGGCAUCCUGGACCAACACUGACGCUGAGGAGCGAAAGCCAGGGGAGCAAACGGG